rnacentral:rRNA from 1 species
AUUGAACGCUGGCGGCAUGCCUUACACAUGCAAGUCGAACGGCAGCACGGGAGCAAUCCUGGUGGCGAGUGGCGAACGGGUGAGUAAAGUAUCGGAACGUGCCCAGUCGUGGGGGAUAACGUAGCGAAAGUUACGCUAAUACCGCAUACGAUCUAUGGAUGAAAGCGGGGGAUCGCAAGACCUCGCGCGAUUGGAGCGGCCGAUAUCAGAUUAGGUAGUUGGUGGGGUAAAGGCUCACCAAGCCGACGAUCUGUAGCUGGUCUGAGAGGACGACCAGCCACACUGGGACUGAGACACGGCCCAGACUCCUACGGGAGGCAGCAGUGGGGAAUUUUGGACAAUGGGCGCAAGCCUGAUCCAGCCAUGCCGCGUGCAGGAUGAAGGCCUUCGGGUUGUAAACUGCUUUUGUACGGAACGAAAAGGUUUGACUUAAUACGUUGGACUCAUGACGGUACCGUAAGAAUAGGCACCGGCUAACUACGUGCCAGCAGCCGCUGUAA